AAGCAAUUCAACUUGCAAAUUUUGGGAACCACAACCUCACCAAUGGUUCCCAGCUGCCCUCAGAACAAGCAAAGGCAUGGAUUUGUCACCCACGCACGGAGCAACAGAAAUCUGCUCAGCUCUGGAAUGGAGCCCAGUGCCUCCUGCACCAGCAUCGCAGUGGGACGAGAGCACCAGAGGGUCCUCGUGGCAGAGCAGCCCCCCGGGGACCCAGCACACACAGUACCUGGCGCAAGAAAAUCCACAGACUCCUCUCCAUCCCACUCGGCGAUGAUCUCCCGGCCAGCCCAGCGCAGAGGCAGGUCUGCGGUGCCUGGAGCUGUGGCAGCCCAGCCCUCCAGCCCUGUGUGACAGGAUACAGUGACAGGGCUCAGCUAAGGGAGCUGUGAGUCCCUGCCAGCACAGCACCAGCAGGGUGCUGCUUUCAGGGGCUCUGUCCCUCCUCCCAACACUCUCUUGAGUCUUGGAAGGGGCCAGCAUUUUGUAACACCCUGCUCCACUUGGGCUCUGCGUUCUCAUGCACUGGAGGGUGGCCUUAACCACCCCCCAUCUAUUUAUUUUCUUAGAUUUGGAGGAAAUUAUUAUCUUUAAACUUUUGCCCCCUGCCUGUGCUGCUACUCUAACAUUACUGUGGGCUGGUGAGCACAGAAAGCCUGAGAAGAAAUGCUGGAGAAGCCCAGAAUAGACAGGGCAUAAUUGCAUUAAGUUGGUUUCCUUAAGAAACCAGUUAAACUCCCCCCUGACUCUGCAGAGUUGGUUAUUUCUUCCAGCCCUGCAGGACAAACACUUGGAAAUCUCUCAAGUGGGCUGUGCUCCGUUAUCAAAUCAUCCCCAGUUUAUACUUUUGCCCAGUUUAGGAAAAUUCCAUCUGAUCCCCUCUCCGCUGUGGACUGGGGAAUGUUUUGGGGAGCGGGGAUUUAGGAGGGCGCUGUGGCUGCAUCUCAGCUCGGAAACUGCCAAACCAGCCCCCAAAGGAGCAGCCCCAAAUUGCCUGUGUGAAGGGUGGAAAAAAAGACUCUGUUUAAAGCCUGGCUCAGUUUCAAGGCCGUAGAAGACAUUCCAGCAGCACAGCAAUUGGCAGCGCGGUUUAAAGGCAAUUAAGACCCA